rnacentral:rRNA from 1 species
AGUGAACGCUGGCGGUAGGCCUAACACAUGCAAGUCGAACGGCAGCACAGUAAGAGCUUGCUCUUACGGGUGGCGAGUGGCGGACGGGUGAGGAAUACAUCGGAAUCUACUUUUUCGUGGGGGAUAACGUAGGGAAACUUACGCUAAUACCGCAUACGACCUACGGGUGAAAGCAGGGGAUCUUCGGACCUUGCGCGAUUGAAUGAGCCGAUGUCGGAUUAGCUAGUUGGCGGGGUAAAGGCCCACCAAGGCGACGAUCCGUAGCUGGUCUGAGAGGAUGAUCAGCCACACUGGAACUGAGACACGGUCCAGACUCCUACGGGAGGCAGCAGUGGGGAAUAUUGGACAAUGGGCGCAAGCCUGAUCCAGCCAUACCGCGUGGGUGAAGAAGGCCUGCGGGUUGUAAAGCCCUUUUGUUGGGAAAGAAAAGCAGCAGGUUAAUACCCCGCUGUUCGGACGGUACCCAAAGAAUAAGCACCGGCUAACUUCGU